rnacentral:rRNA from 1 species
GACGAACGCUGGCGGCGUGCUUAACACAUGCAAGUCGAACGGAAAGGCCCUGCUUUUGUGGGGUGCUCGAGUGGCGAACGGGUGAGUAACACGUGAGUAACCUGCCCUUGACUUUGGGAUAACUUCAGGAAACUGGGGCUCAUACCGGAUAGGAGCUCCUGCUGCAUGGUGGGGGUUGGAAAGUUUCGGCGGUUGGGGAUGGACUCGCGGCUUAUCAGCUUGUUGGUGGGGUAGUGGCUUACCAAGGCUUUGACGGGUAGCCGGCCUGGGAGGGUGACCGGCCACAUUGGGACUGAGAUACGGCCCAGAAUCCUACGGGAGGCAGCAGGGGGGAAUAUUGCACAAUGGGCGGAAGCCUGAUGCAGCAACGCCGCGGGCGGGAUGACGGCCUUCGGGGUGUAAACCGCUUUCGCCUGUGACGAAGCGUGAGUGACGGUAAUGGGUAAAGAAGCACCGGCUAACUACGUG